rnacentral:rRNA from 1 species
GUCCACGCCGUAAACGAUGAAUACUAGGUGUGGGGGGACUGACCCCCUCCGUGCCGCAGUUAACACAAUAAGUAUUCCACCUGGGGAGUACGACCGCAAGGUUGAAACUCAAAGGAAUUGACGGGGCCCGCACAAGCAGUGGAUUAUGUGGUUUAAUUCGAAGCAACGCGAAGAACCUUACCAGGGCUUGACAUCCAACUAACGAAGCAGAGAUGCAUUAGGUGCCCUUCGGGGAAAGUUGAGACAGGUGGUGCAUGGUUGUCGU